AUUGAACGCUGGCGGCAGGCCUAACACAUGCAAGUCGAGCGAGCGGCGGACGGGUGAGUAAUGUCUGGGGAUCUGCCCGAUAGAGGGGGAUAACUACUGGAAACGGUAGCUAAUACCGCAUACCAUCGGAUGUGCCCAUAUGGGAUUAGCUUGUUGGUGGGGUAAAGGCUCACCAAGGCGACGAUCACUAGCUGGUCUGAGAGGAUGACAAGCCACACUGGGACGAAGACACGGUCAAGACUCCUACGAGAGGCAGCAGUGGGGAAUAUUGCACAAUGGGCGCAAGCCUGAUGCAGCCAUGCCGCGUGUAUGAAGAAGGGCUUCGGGGUGUAAAGUACGUUCAGCGGGGAGGCGUUACCCGCAGAAGAAGCACCGGCUAACUCCGUGCCAGCAGCCGCGGUAAUAC
rnacentral:rRNA from 1 species